AUUGAACGCUGGCGGCAUGCCUUACACAUGCAAGUCGAACGGCAGCGGGGGAGAAGCUUGCUUUUCCUGCCGGCGAGUGGCGAACGGGUGAGUAAUACAUCGGAACGUGCCCUGUAGUGGGGGAUAACUAGUCGAAAGAUUAGCUAAUACCGCAUACGACCUGAGGGUGAAAGUGGGGGACCGCAAGGCCUCAUGCUAUAGGAGCGGCCGAUGUCGGAUUAGCUAGUUGGUGGGGUAAAGGCCUACCAAGGCGACGAUCAGUAGCUGGUCUGAGAGGACGAUCAGCAACACUGGGACUGAGACACGGCCCAGACUCCUACGGGAGGCAGCAGUGGGGAAUUUUGGACAAUGGGCGAAAGCCUGAUCCAGCAAUGCCGCGUGUGUGAAGAAGGCCUUCGGGUUGUAAAGCACUUUUGUCCGGAAAGAAAUGGCUCUGGUUAAUACCUGGGGUCGGUGACGGUACCGGAAGGAUAAGGACCGGCUAACUACGUGCCAGCAGCCGCUGUAACAC
rnacentral:rRNA from 1 species